rnacentral:lncRNA from 1 species
AAGGGAUGAAGGUCCGUCAUCUAUAACUUCUUUAAGCUGAAUCCAGGUGUUGAUAUGGGACCCAUUAGAGGAGUGAAAUUUUUCCUAGCUAGUCUUAGGUAGGUCUAGUUGUCUCCUGGAUAUAAGCCUAGCUGUUCAUAUUGCUAUAUGUCCUCAACUUGCUUAGACACAAAAGAAACAAGGCAGUUUAAGAAACAGGGCCCAAAGAUCAAGAGAAGUAGGAUGUCAGCUAAAGUGCCCAGGAAGGCACAACAGGAAGAGUUGGUGACUACACACACCCUACCUUGUUCUCCCAAGAGGUCAUCAAGAGCCGGAUGGUUAUAACGCACGAUGUUGGCUAAGGUAGGCUCUGGAUGAAACAAGGUGACUCCAAGGACAAAGCUUAGAAUACCGGCAAGCAAGACAAGUAGAUUAAGCCCUGACAGAAAAGUAUAUGUGGGCCCAAGCUAUUUUUAGCCUCUGUGGACAGCUCCAUAGGGAGAAUGAACUAUUCGUCAACGUCAACCAUACUUUACUGAAGAUUUUGAAGGUAUUCCAAUGUGACUGACUACUACAUUUCCUCACAUGUGUGCUGCUGUGUCUGAGAUCACCAAGUUUUCAAUUAUCUCAUAUGAACCUGUUUCUGUUCAGAAAGAAACCUUCC